GGGCCAGUGGCGCAAUGGAUAACGUGUCUGACUCCGGCUCAGAAGAUUCUAGGUUCGACUCCUGGCUGGCUCG
rnacentral:tRNA from 1 species